UGCUUAUGAACGAUAAAAUUUGCAGUGUCAUUAAAUGUUGAAUGGGACACGAAAACUGUCUUCCGAAACGUCGGUUUGUGCAUUCUGUGCAGAACUUUGCGGGCCCCUGAGACGUGCCUGAUGCCUGCCGUUCAUCUUCACGUACGUAAUGAAUAUCCGGGAUCUUAUUAUAGCGUUAACUUAGUUUCGUGAUCAGCCGAAGACGUCAGUGAUAUUUUCUGAAAUAAGUUAAGACGCCAGAUCAAUUUAAAGCUCCAGUGCAGUUUCGCCGACGAGGCGCGACUUCACCGCACGUGCCGUCUGACUGAAGCCGCUUCCCUCCCUGGUGACUGGGCGGUGCCAAGAUAAUUAGCAGCGGCUCAGUGCGGUUCCGAGCAGACUUAUUGGCUCUCUGGGGGAAGCCAUUGUUGACGGGAGGCGACGGGAGCGCCACGACGUCGCUGGGCGCCAGACGUCAGAGCAUCGCCAUGACUGCGGCCACAAUGGAGUUUCGUUUCAGGUUCUUUGAGCUAAGAUGGCAUCUGAAGUGUAACGCAGUUCUUCAACAAGAACAAAUAUGAAGUCGGUGUUUUUGGUGUCAAGGUCAUGUGAACUUGAAUAGAAACCAACGUUUCGAGGGAACAUACUGCAUCCAUCUUCAAGGCUCAAGAUGGAGGGACGAGAGCACAGAAGUCUAACAUCGACAAACUCUCUCCGUGAGAAACUUCAGAUUUUGUUCAGUGAAAGCUGAACAUUUCCUUGUUUGCAUAUCUUCAGAUUACUGUCGUGACUACUCUUCUGUUUAAAGCCGGACGUAUCCAUGCGGUACGUCUCGACGGCACAGUAGGGUGAACUGAGCAAGGCAAAUAAGGGUAGUUUGCUGACGAGAGGGAUAGAAGCCGACAGAUGCAGUCCUCCACCCUAAACCAAUCAGGAUCCGCGAGCAUUGAUUGCAUCACGCAGAGCAGUGAGACCCAGUGGAGCGUUGUCAGAGACUCCUCCGCAGCGAAUCGCGUGUGAUUGCCAGUCUUCAGGUCGGCAAUACAAUCCACCGCAUCUCUUCGGUUGCUAUGAUUUCUUACCAUGCGUCUGUCUGUUUUGUGUGCAGAUCUUUUAUCUCUUGGUUUUACAGAAACUGUAAUCCCUCCGAAGUUGGUAAGCGUACAUACUUUGUGACACUUCUACCCCAAGUUCCGAUCCAAGGUUCUAAAAAUUCCCCUGAUACCUCCAUCAUGUCUAUCCGUCCGUAAAUACCAAAUCGAAAACCUCUAAACUAGAAAAAAAAAUUCCUUAGUGAAAAAUCUUUCGAACAAAGAUUGUAAAAAAAAUAAAUAAAAACACACGUUUUAUACAAUAUCAGAACAAAACGCGCAGAUAUUGUUAAACUGUGCAUAUAUUUCCUAGCUUGUUUAACCUGCUAAUCAACUACAUAUCUUAAAAUUUUUCUUUCUUAAUUUAAUAUUAAUUGUCCCAGCUUAUGUAAUUUAUGAAAGACUUGCUGGCUUGUGUACGAACCUUUGCGACAUUUAAGGCGUUUGUAUUAAAACCCAUAAAAUCAGAAUCAGCACAUGAUUUAGGUCAAUCAAAUCCAACUCUGUCCGAUUUAAUAUUCUAGAACAAAAUAUAAACGCAGUGCAGAUAAAACAUCCAUAGGAUCCAACCGUUUCUUAAUUGUAAGUGCACGAAUAUUUAUCCUGACCCGUAUCCUAUCUUAUCCUUAAACAACACGCGUGUGUUUACCCACGCCAUAUUCGGUUUUGAUCUCGUAUUUUGCAUGGACCCGACUGCCCCAUCCUAUUAAAAAAUGACUCCUCGUCGAUGUCCAUGUGCGUCGUUUUAAAAUUCGAUAUUGAUUCUGCUUCUGCAUUAAGUUUUAAAGCCUUUACCUGCAAGAAAAUAUUUGUGUUCACCGU